UACGGAGGGUGCAAGCGUUAUCCGGAUUCACUGGGUUUAAAGGGUGCGUAGGCGGGCAGGUAAGUCAGUGGUGAAAUCUCCGAGCUUAACUCGGAAACUGCCUUUGAUACUAUCUGUCUUGAAUAUUGUGGAGGUAAGCGGAAUAUGUCAUGUAGCGGUGAAAUGCUUAGAGAUGACAUAGAACACCUAUUGCGAAGGCAGCUUACUACGCAUAUAUUGACGUGAGGCACGAAAGCGUGGGGAUCAAACAGG
rnacentral:rRNA from 1 species